UACGGGGGGGGCAAGCGUUGUUCGGAAUUACUGGGCGUAAAGGGCUCGUAGGUGGCCAACUAAGUCAGACGUGAAAUCCCUCGGCUUAACCGGGGAACUGCGUCUGAUACUGGAUGGCUUGAGUUCGGGAGAGGGAUGCGGAACUCCAGGUGUAGCGGUGAAAUGCGUAGAUAUCUGGAGGAACACCGGUGGCGAAGGCGGCGUCCUGGACCGGCAUUGACGCUGAGGCGCGAAAGCCAGGGGAGCAAACGGG
rnacentral:rRNA from 1 species